rnacentral:rRNA from 1 species
GACAGAGGAUGCAAGCGUUAUCCGGAAUUAUUGGGCGUAAAGAGCUUGUAGGCGGUUUGUCGCGUCUGCUGUGAAAUUUCGGGGCUCAACCCCGAACUUGCAGUGGGUACGGGCAGACUAGAGUGUGGUAGGGGAGACUGGAAUUCCGUGGUGUAGCGGUGAAAUGCGCAGAUAUCAGGAGGAACACCAAUGGCGAAGGCAGAUCUCUGGGCCGUAACUGACGCUGAGGAGCGAAAGCAUGGGGAGCGAACAGG